rnacentral:rRNA from 1 species
CCUACGGGUAGCAGCAGUCGAGAAUCAUUCACAAUGGGGGAAACCCUGAUGGUGCGACGCCGCGUGGGGGAAUGAAGGUCUUCGGAUUGUAAACCCCUGUCAUGUGGGAGCAAAUUAAAAAGAUAGUACCACAAGAGGAAGAGACGGCUAACUCUGUGCCAGCAGCCGCGGUACUACAGAGGUCUCAAGCGUUGUUCGGAAUAACUGGGCGUAAAGCGUGCGUAGGCUGUUUCGUAAGUCGGGUGUGAAAGGCGCGGGCUCAACCCGCGGACGGCACAUGAUACUGCGAGACUAGAGUAAUGGAGGGGGAACCGGAAUUCUCGGUGUAGCAGUGAAAUGCGUAGAUAUCGAGAGGAACACUCGUGGCGAAGGCGGGUUCCUGGACAUUAACUGACGCUGAGGCACGAAGGCCAGGGGAGCGAAAGGGAUUAGAUACCCUAGUAGUC